rnacentral:rRNA from 1 species
AUACGUAGGGGGCGAGCGUUGUCCGGAAUGAUUGGGCGUAAAGGGCGCGUAGGCGGCCCGGUAAGUCUGGAGUGAAAGUCCUGUUUUUAAGAUGGGAAUUGCUUUGGAUACUGUCGGGCUUGAGUGCAGGAGAGGUAAGUGGAAUUCCAAGUGUAGCGGUGAAAUGCGUAGAGAUUGGGAGGAACACCAGUGGCGAAGGCGACUUACUGGACUGUAACUGACGCUGAGGCGCGAAAGAGUGGGGAGCAAACAGGAUUAGAUUCCCUGGUAGUCCACACUGUAAACGAUGAAUGCUAGGUGUAGGGGGUAUCGACCCCUUCUGUGCCGCAGUCAACACAAUAAGCAUUCCGCCUGGGGAGUACGGCCGCAAGGUUGAAACUUAAAGGAAUUGACGGGG